GAUGAACGCUGGCGGCGUGCCUAAUACAUGCAAGUCGAGCGAACAGACGAGGAGCUUGCUCCUCUGACGUUAGCGGCGGACGGGUGAGUAACACGUGGAUAACCUACCUAUAAGACUGGGAUAACUUCGGGAAACCGGAGCUAAUACCGGAUAACAUGCUGAACCGCAUGGUUCAACAGUGAAAGACGGUCUUGCUGUCACUUAUAGAUGGAUCCGCGCCGCAUUAGCUAGUUGGUAAGGUAACGGCUUACCAAGGCAACGAUGCGUAGCCGACCUGAGAGGGUGAUCGGCCACACUGGAACUGAGACACGGUCCAGACUCCUACGGGAGGCAGCAGUAGGGAAUCUUCCGCAAUGGGCGAAAUCCUGACGGAGCAACGCCGCGUGAGUGAAGAAGGUCUUCGGAUCGUAAAACUCUGUUAUUAGGGAAGAACAAAUGUGUAAGUAACUAUGCACGUCUUGACGGUACCUAAUCAGAAAGCCACGGCUAACUACGUG
rnacentral:rRNA from 1 species